GUUCAGGGUGGUCGACAAUAGCAUGUAAUUCAUCGCCCCGCCAGGAGCUCAAAAAGCUUCUACUUCCCUCCUUUCUUUCCGCGAAGCAGCACGUGUCAACGCGUCAUGCUGAGAUGGUUCCAUAUACCACGUGGCUUAUUAUUACCGGUGGAACCAAUUGCCGCAGGUACCAUCCCAGCCGUCAAAGCAUCCAAUAGACCCCAAACGCUAUUUCUGUCGGACUCGUGGAAGUUAAGAGAGAGAGACGUAUACAGGAAGAGAGGGAGGGGGGGAGAGGGAGAGAGGAGAGAGAGGGGGCUCUGCUGCCACACAGCCUCUGCUGCUAGAAUUGUUUAUAGGGGUCUUGUUUCCCCACUGAUGUGCCUAAGGCAAGUUUGCGUUACCCAUCAUAAACUCAGAUCUAAUGCCAUCCCUAAAAAUGAAGAGCAAAGUGAGCACAAUCUGUUUAAAGGAAAGAAAGGAUCUUCAUGUCUCUCCAAAAUCAAAUGUAAUUUCCAAAAAGUCGUGCUCUAAGAUCACAAUUUCUGCUCAAGUGGCUGAAACAGACACUGCUUUUCACGAUUGCCAGGAUGUUACAUCAAAGACGGAGGUCUCCCAAAAGACAUUGAAGGUGCUGUAUCCCUUGACAACAAGGAGCAUAUGGAUAAAGAAGAUUCCAAUCUCCAUCCCCAGCAAUCAUUUUCUGCUGGUUCCCCUCCACUGGGAAGAAUGGAAUCAAAUGGCUUAUGUACAGCAAACUUGGAAACGAUUUUUUCUCCUGCUUUUGAGCCCAUUGAAGCUCAUUCUGAACGCUAUGCUGACAAUGAUGCUGUUGGGAGCAUUGGUUAUAGUGACAUGAGAGGACUGGGAGCUGAUGGGAAUGAAGAUGGAAGAAUUGAAUGUGUCUAUGAAACGUGUGAUGUGUCUGACUUCUGCAUUUCUGACAUGAUCGUGACAAGCUUACCCAUGGAUGGAGAUGCCUUUGCUGGAGAUAUCAGUGAGACUGGCUGCAUAUCUGAUUAUAAAUCUGCUGAAUCAACCAUGUUUGAUGCUGCUGACCAGUACAUGGUCCUGCCUGCUCUAGAAGAUGAUGCUAAAAUUGACAGUACUUCUAAUAUCAGAUCAUGUGAAGAAGCCAUAAUGGUUCAAGAAAAUGUCAGCCUCUAUUCAGCAAUAGGGCAGAUAAGAUCCUGCAACCAGGGUUCUAAUCUUAUAAUUGAGUCUGAUAAGGCUGAGUGCUUUGAUCCACAGUCGUUUAUCAAGAAUCUACCAGAACUCUCUGACAUAGAAUCAGAUAAUCAACUUGCUGUAACAUCAAAGGCAUCUCAGAGAAGAAAAUCAGUAACCCUUGUUCUUGAUCUAGAUGAGACUCUUGUUCAUUCUACGUUGGAACAUUGUGAUAAUGCGGAUUUCACUUUUCCUGUAUUCUUCAAUAUGAAAGAUUACACAGUAUAUGUAAGAAAGAGGCCAUACCUCCACACUUUCUUGGAAAGGGUAGCAGAGAUGUUUGAAGUAGUUAUUUUUACUGCCAGUCAAAGCAUUUAUGCGAAACAACUACUUGAUGUAUUGGAUCCUGAUGGGAAACUUAUUUCUCGCCGAAUAUACCGUGAAUCUUGCAUUUUUUCAGAUGGUAAUUACACAAAAGAUCUGACGAUAUUAGGUGUUGAUCUUGCAAAAGUUGCCAUAGUUGAUAAUUCCCCUCAGGUUUUCCGCUUGCAAGUGAAUAAUGGAAUUCCAAUAAAGAGUUGGUUUGAUGAUCCAUCAGAUUGUGCGCUGAUGUCAUUACUUCCCUUCCUAGAGAUACUGGCUGAUGCAGAUGAUGUCCGUCCAAUUAUUGCUGAGAAAUUUGGUAACAAAGAAUAAGGUUUCUUGCUGGAGCAAAAUUUGCAGCCUCUCCUUUUUCUAAUAAUAUUCCAAUGAAAAUUUGUCCUCUAAUUAGAAGAAAAGGUAUCCUUUCUGCUUUAGCUCUUGAGGUAUUAACUAUAAUAAACUAUCAGUUUUCUUAUUGUUGAGUCCAAAUGUGGUUCCGUUUUCCUCUCAGUUGACGGCUCCGUGGAGUGCUUUGUUUCUCUUAAAAGUCAUGCAUCCGAGGGGCAUUUCCUUUUCACUUUGGUCGAGGAAUGCGUCCUAUUUCAACCGGCAGAGUGGCACAAAGAGUCAUUACUGAAGUUGGCUUGGUGAGAUGACACCCGUCUCCUAUUCUGUAUUGACAUCCAAGGAAACUAUGUCAGCAUUUGUCUCUGAAGGAAAAUUAAUAUAAUAUAACCUUAAUGGCAAUCUUUUAGGUACGUAAAUUUUGUUUAUAUCUUACUGGUUAGAAGCUACGCAUGUAUAGUUAUUAUUGUCGCGGGACAGAUUUUUAGUGCAAUUUAUUGAUACUGAUAUUUUUCAGUUCAAUGUUGUAUGAUUUGAUGUUUUCAGAGGUUUGUUAAUAUUUUAAAUUUUUAUUAGAGAAUCUAAACGAACAUGUGAGAAAAUUUUCCCAAGUUUUCUUCUUUUUCUUUUUCUUUUCCUUGCCAAGGUGGCGGGGGAGCCUUGUAAAAUAUAAUCUAAGAUGUUAAAUUUGGUCAUUUUAUUGUCCUUUUGUUUAUUGUUCAGGGGUAAAUUGUCUUAAAUGGAUCUUCAAGGUUAAUGAAUUGUGUGAUACCUAUAUUUCCUCUUUA